rnacentral:rRNA from 1 species
GAUGAACGCUAGCGGGAGGCUUAAUACAUGCAAGUCGAGCGGUAAGGUUUUCGGACCCUAGAGCGGCGAACGGGUGAGUAACGCGUACGAAACCUACCUUUAAGAGAGGAAUAGCCCUGGGAAACUGGGAGUAAUACCUCAUAGUAUUCAUUUACCGCAUGGUUUAUGGAUUAAAGCUACGGCGCUUAAAGAUGGUCGUGCGUCUGAUUAGCUAGUUGGUAGGGUAACGGCCUACCAAGGCUACGAUCAGUAGGGGGCGUGAGAGCGUGGNCCCCCACACGGGUACUGAGACACGGACCCGACUCCUACGGGAGGCAGCAGUAAGGAAUAUUGGGCAAUGGACGCAAGUCUGACCCAGCCAUCCCGCGUGCAGGACGAAUGCCCUAUGGGUUGUAAACUGCUUUUGUUUGGGAAGAAAUGUAUUCUUUUAAGAGUAUUUGACGGUACCAGACGAAUAAGCACCGGCUAACUCCGUGCCAGCNGCCGCGGUAAUACGGAGGGUGCAAGCGUUAUCCGGAAUCACUGGGUUUAAAAGGUGCGUAGGCGGCCAGAUAAGUCAGAGGUGAAAGUUUCCGGCUCAACCGGGAGAUUGCCUUUGAUACUGUUUGGCUUGAAUCAGAUUGAGGUUGGCGGAAUGUGACAUGUAGCGGUGAAAUGCAUAGAUAUGUCAUAGAACAUCGAUUGCGAAAGCAGCUGACA